UACGUAGGGUGCUAGCGUUGUCCGGAUUUAUUGGGCGUAAAGGGCUCGUAGGCGGCGUGUCGCGUCGGGAGUGAAAGCCCGCUGCUUAACGGCGGGUUGGCUUCCGGUACGGGCAUCGCUGGAGUGCGGCAGGGGAGACUGGAAUUCCGGGUGUAGCGGUGGAAUGCGUAGAGAUCCGGAAGAACACCGGUGGCGAAGGCGGUGAGCUGGGCAGUUGCUGACACUGAGGCGCGACAGCGUGGGGAGCAAACAGG
rnacentral:rRNA from 1 species